rnacentral:rRNA from 1 species
UACCAGCACCCCGAGUGGUCGGGACGUUUAUUGGGCCUAAAGCAUCCGUAGCCGGUUCUGCAAGUCUUCCGUUAAAUCCACCUGCUUAACAGAUGGCCGCGGAAGAUACUAUAGAGCUAGGAGGCGGGAGAGGCAAGCGGUACUCGAUGGGUAGGGGUAAAAUCCGUUGAUCAUUGAAGACCACCGGUGGCGAAGGCGGCUCUCUGGACCGAGACUGACGCUGAGGCGCGAAAGCGUGGGAGCAACAGGAUAGAAACCCGGUAG